GCAAAGAGUUUAUUCUGUAGUAUCUAGUAACACACUCCAGAGCAAUCCCCCAACUCCAGCCUAACAGCACCCAUCAUGUGCAGGAGGGAGAAAGAGAAAGGGAAAGGAAGCCUCACUCUGGAAAUCUCAAGUUUGAAACUGGAGAAUCAUAGAGGCUUUUAGAUUCUGUGGACGGAUGGCUGACCCAGGGAGGCCGUGUUUAUCUCCUCCUGGGUCACUGCAAGCAAAACAGCUGCUAUGGAUCACUGUCUCACACAGAACAAUGAUGCGAGUAGGCGAAAGGAAUGCGGAGCUGCGAUAGAGACCACUGUGCCAGGUGCUGUGAGACAAGCUGCAAGCAACUGCAAGUUAUGAGAACGGUGCCUUGUUGUGCUUAGCAUUUAUUUGUACCGCUCUAUAUAAAUGGCUGUGUGCAGUCAUUAAAUGGCUUGGCUGCUAGAAACCAUAUGAGUGUGUGGCCUCGUCCCUCGCCUCAUCUCAGCUGAUUAUUGCUCUCCAGGGGAUCUCGGACUUGUUGUUUGUCAACAAGAUUCUUCAGGAAUUGUGAAAAUUUCUGGAAAUGAAGAUUUCUUUGAAGGAUUUUUAUCUUAAAAUGGAACAAGGCUGUUUUCACUUAAAGUUACAGCUUUAAAAUUUUGAAGUAAGUCUAAGUGCAUGCAAGCUCAUUUGUUAGACUGGAUGCAACACUGUCAUUAUAUUCAUAAGGUGCCAAAGCACUGAAACAAGUUGCCCAGAGAGUCUGUGGAGUGUUCUUCCCCGGAGAUAUUCAAGAUCUGUUUGGACAUAACCCUGGGUUAGGUGCUCUCUGUGGCCCUGCUUGAGCAUCUGGGGUUGGACCAAAUGAUCUCCAGAGGUCCCUUUCAACCUCAGCCAUUCUGUGAUUCUGUGACUAGAUCAAUAUUUCAUUCUCGAAUUAAUACUCUUUUCUUAGAUAUGCUAUUAUUGUAUUUCUUUACUUUCUAUUCACUUAUACUCUGUUACAAGAUUUAGGCUCUGAUAAAUAGUUUUAUAGCUCUGUUAUUAUGCAAACCAUUUUGAGGUCAUUCGAAGGUAUUUUAUGGGAAAAUUUUGAGAUGUAGUUUAAUCUUUUAAUUUUCAUCAUGUAAAUGCUUAUUCCUACAACAAAGCUUCAUUAUAUCUUUAUAUUUCCCACAUCUUUCAUAACUGUACAUAAAUUCCAAAAAUUAGAGUACAGCUAUAUGAAAUAAGUAAGCUUCUGUGAUGCCUGCUAUUAAAGAAGAACAAGUUUUAAAACUGAACACUUUUGUGUCUCUGAAAUUUAGCUAUCUCAUUCCUUUAAGUCAUUUAUUGUAGAAUACAUUAGAUUGCUUCUUAGGACAUUUGACAGUGCUAAAAUAUUAGCUCAUUUUUGCAGUGCAAAAGUCAACAAACUAUUUCUGUGCAAGUAUGUAAGUCAUCUGUGUUAUUACCAUGUGUUUCAUUUUUAUUAUGAUUGAUGUCAUUGCAAUAAAUACAUGAGCAACCC
rnacentral:lncRNA from 1 species